rnacentral:piRNA from 1 species
UCAACGUCACACCUUUCGACGUCAGCCACC